rnacentral:lncRNA from 1 species
CUAGAAUUAGCACUUUGUCUUAGUGAUAUUCACUUUUACAACUUUAGUUAAAACUUUUAGAACAGUGUUCAUAUGGAACAUUCCAGUUACUAUAAGAAGUGAGUCUUCCAUAGAAUGAAGACCAUCAUUGAGAUAAGGAGAAACAAUCGAAGAUAUUUAGUAUCUGAAUCCGGCUGUGUCUGAAGGCAACUUUUCCCCGAAUGACUUCCAUCCUUUUCUUUUCCAUUAAUCUUCUGGUUCAACAGACUCCUAUCAGAGCUUCAGGAAGAACUUUGGCUGUUCCCAGGCUCCAAGUUCAAGGACUCUUUCACCUAAUGAUUACUAAGAGAAGCCAACUGCCAUGCUGUGAGCUACCCUAAGGAGAGAGUCACAUGGGCAAAAGGAAAGAAAAGCCCUGAUAUUUUUGGUUAAGAGCCAAUGAGGACCCAAGGCCUGCCAACAGCCAUGUGUAUCCAAGUACACUCCUGCAGUCACUUACUAUGUUAGGAAUAUGCAGUCGUAUGGAGUACUACUCCGUCAUCAAGGAGGAUAAACUUGAGGCAUUUUUAGGUAAAUAGAUGCACCUCAAGACCAUAAUUUUAAGUGAAAUAAACCAGACACACAAGUUUAAAUCUAGCAUUGUUUUCCUUGUGUGAGAAACUCAAAGGGUAAAUAAGGAACAAAAUGGAGGAUAGAUAUUGGCAAGUAGGAAGAACAUGUUCAAAUGGGAAGGGGAACAAAGGAGGAGGAAGGGAAGAGAAAGGAAAUUUUAAAAGAGAAUGGAAGAGAAAAAGUG